rnacentral:rRNA from 1 species
CCUACGGGAGGCAGCAGUGGGGAAUAUUGCACAAUGGGGGAAACCCUGAUGCAGCGACGCCGCGUGAGUGAAGAAGUAUCUCGGUACGUAAAGCUCUAUCAGCAGGGAAGCAAAUGACGGUACCUGACUAAGAAUCCCCGGCUAACUACGUGCCAGCAGCCGCGGUAAUACGUCGGGGGCAAGCGUUAUCCGGAUUUACUGGGUGUAAAGGGAGCGUAGACGGCAGGACAAGUCUGGAGUGAAAUCCCGGGGCUUAACCCCGGAACUGCGUUGGAAACUGUGCGGGUGGAGUGCAGGAGGGGUAAGCGGAAUUCCGGGUGUAGCGGUGAAAUGGGUAGAUAUUAGGAGGAACACCGGUGGCGAAGGCGGCUUACUGGACUGUAACUGACGUUGAGGAUCGAAAGCGUGGGGAGCAAACAGGAUUAGAUACCCAGUAGUC